rnacentral:rRNA from 1 species
AUUGAACGCUGGCGGAAUGCUUUACACAUGCAAGUCGAACGGUAGAGGGGGCAACCCCUCGAGAGUGGCGAACGGGUGAGUAAUAUAUCGGAACGUGCCCAGUCGUGGGGGAUAACGUAGCGAAAGUUACGCUAAUACCGCAUACGAUCUAAGGAUGAAAGCGGGGGAUCGCAAGACCUCGCGCGAUUGGAGCGGCCGAUAUCAGAUUAGGUAGUUGGUGGGGUAAAGGCUCACCAAGCCAACGAUCUGUAGCUGGUCUGAGAGGACGACCAGCCAAACUGGAACUGAGACACGGUCCAGACUCCUACGGGAGGCAGCAGUGGGGAAUUUUGGACAAGGGACGCAAGUCUGAUCCAGCCAUUCCGCGUGCAGGAUGAAAGCCCUCGGGUUGUAAACUGCUUUUGUACGGAACGAAAAGGUCUCUCUUAAUACGGGGGGCUCAUGACGGUACCGUAAGAAUAAGCACCGGCUAACUACGUGCCAGCCGCCGCCGUAA